rnacentral:ncRNA from 1 species
CCUGCUGUACGACCAGCAGUUGCCUAUUCGGACGUGCGCGAUUGGUAACGAUCGGGUGCGAAGCUUCGGAGACAACGUACCCUUCAGUAGACGGUUCACCGUGGCGACACGGCAGGAAUCGACACUGCCAGCAGCCGUGCGGUGUGGGGG